UACGUAGGGUGCAAGCGUUGUCCGGAAUUAUUGGGCGUAAAGAGCUCGUAGGCGGUCUGUCGCGUCGAAUGUGAAAACCCGGGGCUCAACCCCGGGCCUGCAUUCGAUACGGGCAGACUAGAGUUCGGUAGGGGAGUCUGGAAUUCCUGGUGUAGCGGUGAAAUGCGCAGAUAUCAGGAGGAACACCGGUGGCGAAGGCGGGUCUCUGGGCCGAUACUGACGCUAAGGCGCGAAAGCGUGGGGAGCGAACAGG
rnacentral:rRNA from 1 species